rnacentral:rRNA from 1 species
GACGAACGCUGGCGGCGUGCUUAACACAUGCAAGUCGAACGGAAAGGCCCUGCUUGUGUGGGGUGCUCGAGAGGCGAACGGGUGAGUAACACGUGAGUCACCUGCCCUUGACUUAGGGAUAACUUCAGGAAACUGGGGCUAAUACCGGAUAGGAGCUCCUGCUGCAUGGUGGGGGAUGGAAAGUUUCGGCGGUUGGGGAUGGACUCGCGGCUUAUCUGCUUGUUGGUGGGGGAGUCGCUUAGCAAGGCUUUGAAGGGUAGCCGGCCUGAGAGGGUGACCGGCCCCAGUGGGACUGAGCUACGGCCCAGACUCCUACGGGAGGCAGCAGUGGGGAAUAUUGCACAAUGGGCCGAAGCCUGAUGCAGCAACGCCGCGUGCGGGAUGACGGCCUUCGGGUUGUAAACCGCUUUCGCCUGUGCCGAAGCGUGAGUGACGGUAAUGGGUAAAUAAGCACCGGCUAACUACGUG